UUGGAUUCCUGGCACGGGGUAACCGGUCCGCCUUGCAAAAGGUGCGCACUGUGUGGCCUCGGCCAUCCUUGGGAAGAGCGGCUCUGGCAUUAAGUUGUCGGGGUCGGGAUUCCCGACGUUUACUGUGAAAAAAUCAGAGUGUUCAACGCAGGCUUACGCCUUGAAUACAUUAGCAUGGAAUAAUGAGAUAGGACCUUGGCGGUCUAUUUUGUUGGUUUGCACGCCGAGGUAAUGAUUAAAAGGGACGGUUGGGGUUCUUUGUAUUCAAUUGUCAGAGGUGAAAUUCUUGGAUUUAUGGAAGACAAACUGCUGCGAAAGCGUCGAACAAGGACGUUCUCAUUAAUCAAGAACGAAAGUUAGGGGAUCGAAGAUGAUUAGAUACCAUCGUA
rnacentral:rRNA from 1 species